rnacentral:misc_RNA from 1 species
AAAUUAACCGAGGUAUUCUCUGCUUUCCCCUUCAACUUUUGAAACUCAUCUUUUGUUUUUCUUCACUUGGUUUCUUGUUUAAUGUGGUGUUUUCAAUUUGUUAAUUAAUCUAUCUUUGUAUGUGUUGUUGUUGGGAAUUUGAGAACCUUUUCCUAGUAACCAAACACGAUCUGUAAAGAAAAUUAGGAAGUUUGAUAUGAUUUCUUUCUCUAUGUAUAUUGAAAAAACAGAAUGGUA